GUUAGGUGGUAUUUCCAAGCUUCUCUUCAAGAAGGAUCCAGACCGGGCCGUGCACCAGGGUAGAGCUCUUUCCAAGUCCCAGCCCCCGGCUGCCCGCAAACGGAGGGGUUGGCAGGGGUCCCGUGACCACGGUUCUCUGCUCACUUGUGUCUAACUUGGGCAGAUUGACACCUUCCUUCCUGAGCGCACUUGGAUCCUCACACACAAAGAUUCCCUUGUUAUGCCCAACAGACAGCAUCUUGCCUCACCUCUCAGAAUAACCAUCUGAGGCCAUUCUGUCAUCAUUUUGGAGAAGAGGAAACUGAGGCCCAGAGAGGUGAGGUGCCUUGUCUGAGGUCACACAGCAAGGAAGCGGUGAAGCCAGGAUUAUAACCUUUUCUGACUCUUUUCAAAACACAUCCUUUUUAAAAAAAUUUUUUUUAAUUAUGUUUAUUUAUUUUGAGAGAGAGACAGAGUGCGAGCUGGGGAGGGGCAGAGAGAGGGAGACGCAGAAUCCGAAGCAGGUUCCAGGCUCCGAGCUGUCAGCACAGAGCCCCACCCGGGGCUCGAGUCCACGAACGUGGGAUCGCGACCUGAACCGAGGUCGGAUGCUCAACCGACUGAGCCACCCAGGCGCCCCCAGAGCACCAGCUCCUAACUCUUGCCUGCUGCCCCCUCAGAAUGAGUCACAACGGACACUGCUUAAUCAGAAGGGAUAAAGGCGUCAGAGUCGUAUUCAUCUCCUAGCUGUCGGAGGCCCUGACCUCUUUUCUAGAAGGUCUAGGCUAACGCCCAAAAGGGCUGGAGGGUUUUGUAGGAGAGGCCCCCCCCCACCUGCGCAAACACCACAGCGAAGCCUGAGCCCUGUUCCCUCCCCUGUCUCUCCCCCCCGAUGGCACAGCGGCUCCAGCGGUAGGUGGCCUGGCUUCACGAGGAGUUCAGGAGCCAGGAGUCGCGGUCACCGCCAGCCCAGAGCCAGAUGGACACCCUCAGGUGACAGAACCUGGAGCUUCGGGACGGCCUGAGGGUGUCGGGGCUGCGGGGACCGCCAGCCGGGGGGCCGUUCGCAGCCGCCGUCUGCACAAGAAGGAAAUCGGCCACUCGUACCAGAAGGUUUUUUUGGUUUACUUAGAAGUGAUGUCACGGGAAAGGUGGCCGCAUCGUCGUUGGCCCUGGUGGUAACGCUCACCCUCCGGGAGGCGAGGGGCUGGCUGUCUGUUAACUCACGUCCGUAAAUGAAUGACGGACACGGGGACCCAGCCCCUGUCUGGUCUCCAGAGGCAUCUCGUGACACCUGGUAGGGCAGCAGCCCGCACUUCCUGGGGACCGUGACCGGACAGUGAGCCUGUGAGAUGCAUCCCGGUGCUGAUGCCCCCCGCGUCGUGUGGCUGCUGAGCCCCAGGGCCUGGGCGUACUUGCUUGUGAAUGUGUAAGUCUACAGUUCACGGAGUCAGGAUGUUUCAGCUCUGACACAGUAACACACACUCUCUCUCCCUCUCUUAUUUGGAGCUCACGUGCUGGGUGAAUUUCCACUGUGCGCAGUGCCACCCCCAGAAUGGUGCGGUGACGUGUAAGGACAGGACCCGUUCUGCAAAGCACGCCCGACUGAAAGAAAGCAGGAUGGAUGUGGGACCCUCACUCUGGGUCCGUGCAGGCACCUGCUCGGGCAGGCACGGUUGUGGGGCCAGCGCAUCGAGCCGUCAGUGACACUCGUGAGCC
rnacentral:lncRNA from 1 species